UACGUAGGUGGCAAGCGUUGUCCGGAUUUACUGGGCGUAAAGGGUGCGUAGGUGGUGAGGUAAGUCGGAUGUGAAAGCUCGGAGCUCAACUCCGAAAUGGCAUUGGAAACUACCUUGCUAGAGGGUUGGAGGGGGGACUGGAAUGCUUGGUGUAGCAGUGAAAUGCGUAGAUAUCAAGCGGAACACCAGUGGCGAAGGCGAGUCCCUGGACAACUCCUGACACUGAGGCACGAAAGCUAGGGGAGCAAACAGG
rnacentral:rRNA from 1 species